AGAUCAUUAACAAGGACAACAAGUAUAUCUUUGAUGGUGUGUGCAACGGUUGCUCCACCAUGUUAUACUCGAUUUUCUUUAUCAUUUUCAGCACUUCAUCACAACCCACCUUCUGAUUUGUACCACUAGACUAACCAACCUUCUCAAUUGGAGUCUUUACCUGAGUUUUCCCUACAGUGACAUCUUCAGUUUUUCUGGGAGGUGUAGAGGCAAACAC
rnacentral:lncRNA from 1 species